rnacentral:misc_RNA from 1 species
UUGCUUGAAAUGUAUUAGCUGGCGACCUGCCUUCAAUGGUUACCACUCGGCGUAGUAAGUCUUAUUCGUCGAGGACACCUUGUACCUUCAUUGGAACGGGUGGCCAUUGUACUGUGUCUUGAUAGCCGCUUCUAAUUGUCUCUGGACAACAUAACGAACUCUUUAAUCUCAACUCGGGUAGGACUACCCGCUGAACUUAA